GGCCAGUUAGCUCAGUUGGUUAGAGUGAGGUGCUAAUAACACCGAGGUCCAGGGUUCAAUUCCUGUACUGGCCA